rnacentral:tRNA from 1 species
AUAUAUAUUAGUGUAAAAGCACAAAAAUUUUUGAAAUUUUUAGAUAUAGAUAAAUCUAUUAUAUAUA